rnacentral:rRNA from 1 species
UACGUAGGUGGCAAGCGUUGUCCGGAAUUAUUGGGCGUAAAGCGCGCGCAGGUGGUUUCUUAAGUCUGAUGUGAAAGCCCCCGGCUCAACCGUGGAGGGUCAUUGGAAACUGGGGGACUUGAGUACAGAAGAGAAGAGUGGAAUUCCACGUGUAGCGGUGAAAUGCGUAGAGAUGUGGAGGAACACCAGUGGCGAAGGCGGCUCUUUGGUCUGUAACUGACGCUGAGGCGCGAAAGCGUGGGGAGCAAACAGG